rnacentral:rRNA from 1 species
AUGUUAGGUGUGGCGGAGAUGCGUAUGUUGAGAUGGAUGUGUGGCCACACGAGGAAGGAUCGAGUCCGGAAUGAUGAUAUACGAGAUAGAGUUGGGAUAGCACCAAUUGAGGAGAAGCUUGUCCAACAUCGUUUGAGAUGGUUUGGGCAUAUUCAGCGCAGGCCUCCAGAAGCUCCAGUGCAUAGCGGACGGCUAAAGCGUGCGGAGAAUGUCAAGAGAGGGCGGGGUCGACCGAUUUUGACAUGGGAGGAGUCCGUUAAGAGAGACCUGAAGGAUUGGAGUAUCGACAAAGAGCUAGCUAUGGACAGGGGUGCGUGGAAGCUUGCUAUCCAUGUGCCAGAGCCAUGA